GGGGGAUUAGCUCAGUUGGGAGAGCGCCUGCCUUGCAAGCAGGAGGUCACGAGUUCGAAUCUCGUAUUCUCCAC
rnacentral:tRNA from 17 species